GCCGGGCACGAUGGCACGUGCCUGUAGUCCUAGCUUCUCGGGUGGCUGAGGUGGGAGGAUCGCUUGAGCCCAGGAAUUCUGGGCUGUAGUGCACUAUGCCAAUUGGGUGUCCACACUAAGUUCGGCAUCAAUAUGGUGAACUGAGUGCGGGGGGCCCACCGGGUUGCCUACGGAGGGGUGAACCAGCCCAGGUCGGAAAAGGAGCUGGUCAAACUCUGGUGCUGAUCAGGAUUGGGAUCAUGCCUGGGUAUAGCCACUGUACUCCAGCCUGGGCGACAUAGCGAGACCCAUCUCUU
rnacentral:SRP_RNA from 1 species